rnacentral:rRNA from 1 species
AACGAACGCUGGCGGCAGGCUUAACACAUGCAAGUCGAACGAGAUCUUCGGAUCUAGUGGCAGACGGGUGAGGAACACGUGGGAACAUCCCUUUCAGUUCGGAAUAACGUUGGGAAACUAACGCUAAUACCGGAUACAUCCUUCGGGAGAAAGAUUUAUCGCUGAAAGAUUGGCCCGCGUCUGAUUAGCUAGUUGGUGAGGUAACGGCUCACCAAGGCUACGAUCAGUAGCUGAUCUGAGAGGAUGAUCAGCCACAUUGGGACUGAGACACGGCCCAAACUCCUACGGGAGGCAGCAGUGGGGAAUAUUGGACAAUGGGCGCAAGCCUGAUCCAGCCAUGCCGCGUGUGUGAUGACGGCCUUCGGGUUGUAAAGCUCUUUUGUCCGGGAAGAUAAUGACUGUACCGGAAGAAUAAGCCCCGGCAAACUUCGUGCCAGCCGCCGCUGUAA